rnacentral:rRNA from 1 species
GGGGGGGGGGGGGGGGGGGGGGGGGGGGGGCGGGGCGGGCGGGGGGGCGCGGGGGGGGGGGGGUGCUCGAGUGGCGAACGGGUGAGUAACACGUGGGUGACCUGCCCUGGACUUUGGGAUAACUUCGGGAAACUGGGGCUAAUACCGGAUAGGAGCUCCUGCUGCAUGGUGGGGGUUGGAGAGUUUCGGCGGUUGGGGAGGGACUCGCGGCUUAUCAGAUUGGUGGGGGGGUAGUGGCUUACCAAGGCUUUGACGGGUAGCCGGCCUGAGAGGGUGACCGGCCACAUUGGGACUGAGAUACGGCCCAGACUCCUACGGGAGGCAGCAGUGGGGAAUAUUGCACAAUGGGCGGAAGCCUGAUGCAGCGACGCCGCGUGCGGGAUGACGGCCUUCGGGUUGUAAACCGCUUUCGCCUGUGACGAAGCGUGAGUGACGGUAAUGGGUAAAGAAGCACCGGCUAACUACGUG